CCCUUUCUGGAAAUAGAAGCUUCUAAUUUCCCUUAAAACAUGAGUCACUGGAUGGAAGUAAAAGCACCAUAAGACAGGAGAGAGAAGGAGGAGGGAGCGAAAAGGAUGCUCCUCAUAUAGCGAGACCACUGAACUUUGCUGUGCUGGUGCUCGCGACGCCCUGCUGAAGGUCCACUUCCCCAGUGAUCGGCUCCUGCCUGGGAUUCCCAGGGACAGGGAAUACGAUUGCCUGCGAACACGGGACCGCAUCUCCCCAAACGGUUGAGAUUUAUUAGAAGGACAGCUCCCUGUGGUGCCAGCAAAUCUUGAAUCUCUGGCAAAUAGACAAUGUGCAGAGUGAGGAAUAUCGCCAUCACGAAUUCACACAUUCACAGUGCGUGAGAUUUAGGAGAUGACAUUGAAGAAUGGAAGUCAUAGGACCUGCUAAUUUCUAAUCUCCUCAACACAAAAUAUGAGAAUAAGAAGGGAACUUUAGACUUUUUAUCAAGUCAAUUCAGAAAUGUAUUUGAAGCAUGAUGUAAUAGUAAACCACAAUGUAACAUUUACAUCAACAAACUUUUAAAAAACAAUUUGUAUUCUAAGAGUGAUUCCUGUUUAUUAUGGAAAACUAGGAAAUAAGGAAGAAAUAAGAACAAUAAGAAAAAAAGAACCAGUCACAAUGCUAGAUUCUAGAAAUAAUAAUUGCAAAAAUAAUCAGUGUGAACCUUCCAAUAUUUCUCCUGUGUCUGCAGUUUUUACGCAAUUGAAAAUAUACUAUAGAGGGUGUAACUAUUAGCCUACAAACUCAGACAUAUUUGAAAUAUCAACUUCCGUCAUUUUUCUAAGGCUCAAACUCAUUUCUAUAGCAAGUCCUCGCUCUGCCUGUGAAUUUCACCUCCAUCAACUUGAGACAAUGCUUUUCUUUCUAGGGUGUAUCUGAGUUGACAGGGGUCGGUGAUAAUGUGACAUCAGGGAUGGGAGAUGGGCACUUGGUCCUCAAGUAUUCAUCUACAUAUGUCUCUACUAAGAAGUUACCUGUCCCUGUUUGCAUUCUUUCUCUUCAUUUUUGUUUCUUUUUUGAGAUUUUAGUUUUUAAGUAAUCUCUACACCCAACGUGCGGCUUGAACUCACAACGCUGAGAUCAAGAGUCACACACUCUACUGACUGAGCCCAGCCAGGUGCACCGUCUCUCCAUUUUUUAUGCUUCCACCUAGGAAACAAAACCCCAGGACCCACCAAAAUCUGCCUGUUAUCAACUCCCAGUUUCUUUCCUCUUAAAUCUAGCUUUACUUUUUUUUUUUCAGGUACAGGAAUAUGCUGGUUUUUUACCUAUUGCCUCUCAGCUCCAAACUCACUCCUUUUACACUCUUGCUCUCUGAUGAUGGGACUGGACUCUGGAAGCUGUAUUUCCCAGACUUCUUUGCCAGCUGCCUUUCUGCUGGUCUUGCCAAUUGGCAGCAGCAGAGGGAACUGGAAGGUAGAAGGAAGGGAGAAGUGGCUUUCCUCCUGUUUAUUGCCUGUCCUGUCAGAGUUGCCCAGGGCUGGCGAUUUGUCCACCAGCAGCAGUUGGCUCAGAUUUCAGCCCCAGUGUCCUCUAGCAUCCAGCGUCUGCCACGCGGACCCCCUCACAGCAGCCAGCCACGACUGGGUGGUGCUCCCAUCUCCCAGGUCUGAGCCCCACCUCCAGGAAGCCCUCCCUUCCAACAGUCCCCGAUGACACUGCCUCCAGAUUAUCACCUCAGAGCACCCCUUGGCUCUCUUAGCCCUCCGGCACCUGGAGAGCCAACUUCCAAAAUUAUAAUAGUUGUGAGAUUUAGGUUUUCCUCCCAGGACCCUAACCGAUAUCUGGGGGAGGGAUUCUUCUUUCACUUAAUCUUGAUGGGUUUUUUUUUUUUUUCCCUCAGAAGCAAUCCCUCUGUCUGGUGUUUGAAUCCCAGGCCUUCGGUGGGAGCUCCUUAAAGGGUUCAAGCAGUUGAGAACACAAAAGCUAGCAACUUUCUAGCUCUUUCUGUUUCCCACACAGCCAUGCUUCCCUGGGUAUAUGAACACAGAACUGGGCUAUGAACUUGAGUGGGGGAGGGAGACAGAGCGGUGGAAAAAGGGGGCAAUUGUUACUAUGGCAAAAAUACUGUCAAAUGGUAAUACUUUUAAUUAAUGCCUUUCCCUGUUUUUUAUAAACAUCCCUGUAUUCUCUUUCUUUGCUGAGCCUUACCCAAACUGCAGACUCAUGAGCAAUAUAAAUAUUAUUUUCAGCCAGUAAGCCAUCAAGUUCUGGAGUAAUUUCUUAUGCACCUACAUCAUCCAAUACUGAUUCUGUAGUGUGUGUGUGUGUGUGUGUGUGUGUGUGUGUUUACAUAAACAGAUAACUCAGUAUUCUGUUAUGUCCUGUUUUUCCAAGUUUAAAAGUAAGAACCUUCAUUAUCAUGGUUUCAAAUUAGACUAUAGAAACUCCUGAAAAACAUUUAAUGUAUUUACUGCCCACAAAGCCAAAGUAUCUACCACUCAUUUUCUGAGGGUUUUUCAACUUUGUUGAAUAUAUUGUUAAAAUUCAAGUUACAGUUUUUUCUUGUCCUGAAUUAUCAAGCAGUUGAACUAUUUUUCACCCAUUAAAGUUGAUUUAAAUACACAGGCUUAUACAGCUUAUAUGAAAUUUAGUUCCAUGGCUGCUUGAACCAAAAGAAAGUCAAGAUGGAUGAUCUGUGUUAACUCUAUGCAACCAUAUGUGUAUUUAUGGAGCUGAAAAGCAAGUCUGAAAUUUUAUGUGCACUUUAAAAGAUAAAAUCUUCAGAGAGAAACAUGUUCCUGCCUUCAUAAAUAGUGCACCAAUAGUUUGUACAUCAUCUCAUAACAAUAAUAAAUGUUCCUCAAAGACAGCUACAAGUUUGCAAUUGAUUUUGAUCAUUACUCCACACUGAAUAACUUCAGAAUUCAACAAAGCCAGAAUGAUGUUGCAGACCAAUAUGCAAAGACAAUAUGCAGUCAGGUCACAUAGCCUAUUUAGCCCUCUAAAUAGCUGCAGACAAAGAUGGGAUUUUGGGUGCUGCAAAGCUGAAGUACAACAAAUACAUAUAGGUAUGAUGGGGGAGCCAGGUUAGAAUAAAGUUAAUUUAGAAAUCUUGCAAUUGGGAGGCGCCUGGGUGGCUCAGUUGGCUGAGUGUCUGACUUUGGUUCAGGUGGUGAUCUCACAGUUCAUGGGUUUGAGUCCCGUGUCAGGCUCUGUGCUAAGUCAUCUCAGAGUCUGAAACCUGCUUUAGAUGCUGUGUCUCCCUCUCUCUCUGCACCCUCCCCCCCACGUGACUCACACUCUCUCUUUUAAAAAUAAACAUUUGUAUACACACACACACACACACACACACAUACAUAUGAAAUGUUGCAGUUGGUCUCAAAUUUGAUAUCAGAAUGAGUAAAGAUUAUAUUUUCAAAAAUUGUUAAUAGUUGAAUGAGGAGCAAAUGUAACUAUAAAUGAAGGUAACUCAAUAAUUCUAUAAACAGGUGUACACAUUUAAUGAAUUUUACAAAAGGAAAAUUAACUCCAUACCUUUAGUAGUAUGGA